GACGAACGCUGGCGGCGUGCCUAAUACAUGCAAGUAGAACGCUGAAGGAGGAGCUUGCUUCUCCGGAUGAGUUGCGAACGGGUGAGUAACGCGUAGGUAACCUGCCUGGUAGCGGGGGAUAACUAUUGGAAACGAUAGCUAAUACCGCAUAAGAGUAGAUGUUGCAUGACAUUUGCUUAAAAGGUGCAAUUGCAUCACUACCAGAUGGACCUGCGUUGUAUUAGCUAGUUGGUGGGGUAACGGCUCACCAAGGCGACGAUACAUAGCCGACCUGAGAGGGUGAUCGGCCACACUGGGACUGAGACACGGCCCAGACUCCUACGGGAGGCAGCAGUAGGGAAUCUUCGGCAAUGGACGGAAGUCUGACCGAGCAACGCCGCGUGAGUGAAGAAGGUUUUCGGAUCGUAAAGCUCUGUUGUAAGAGAAGAACGAGUGUGAGAGUGGAAAGUUCACACU
rnacentral:rRNA from 1 species